GGUAAAUCUUUCCGGUGAAUGCAUCAGAACAGGAAGAGCUUAGCUCUGCGAUUCUAAAUAUAUUUUCCACGUGACCUUUAAAAGAUUAUUCCUUGAUGUCGAAAGUACAGAUUUCUUGUAGCGAAAGUAUUGUGAAUGUAUGCCUUCUUCAAAAUCAGAUGAAAGUAAACAACCAGAAUAUGCAUAUUGCUGGAAAAAGAAUUUAAAUGAAAUUGUUUUUCAAUAAACAAAGAAGAUACAUAUAUUUUAGGUUGAGAUUGAUAAAGCAGCCAUUUCAAAAUCUCUCAAUAUAUUUGCUGCAUUCUUAGAAGAAGGAUUGACAAGCUGCUUUGAAACACCAAAGGGGUUGGAUAAAUCAACCACGAUUCAGUUCAAUGAGGACAAAAAGAGUGAUUGAUGUUUCCUUUUACUUCUUUCUUCUACAUUAUUUCGAGCAUAAUGGCUUGUCGCCAACACAUUUUACAAGACGAACCCAACUGAAAAUACCCGGUUACUUUCUGGGUACAAAGGUGUGAAUGGAAGACUAUCAUAGUUGUUCUCCUUUUUUAUGUCGUCAAAGGAAGAAAAAAUGGUGAGGCCAUAAAUCUGUGUACUUAGACAUUUUUUCUUGAGCUUGCAAGAAAGCAACUUACUUCAAUGUCGAUGAAAUGUAAGAAUAGAAGAAUAUCUAUUUCAAAAAUUCCCAUAAUGAAGUUUUUGCAAAAUUAAAUCACAUUUAAUUAUUACAUGUUGUAUAUUUUUAACUUUAUAUUAAUUUACAUAUUCUGUAUGUACGUUUAUACGAGUAAAAGUUGUAAGAGUGUAUCUAAAUAUAUAAGAA